rnacentral:rRNA from 1 species
GGCUCAGGACGAACGCUGGCGGCGUGCUUAACACAUGCAAGUCAAGGGGGCCCGCAAGGGCAACCGGCGAACGGGUGCGUAACACGUGAGCAAUCUGCCUAGAUGUGGGGGAUAGCCGGCCCAACGGCCGGGUAAUACCGCAUACGCUCUCCGGGUGGCAUCACCUGGUGAGGAAACAUUUUUGGCAUCUAGAGGAGCUCGCGGCCUAUCAGCUUUGGUGGGGUAAUGGCCUACCAAGGCUUUGACGGGUAGCUGGUCUGAGAGGAUGGCCAGCCACAUUGGGACUGAGAUACGGCCCAGACUCCUACGGGAGGCAGCAGUGGGGAAUAUUGCGCAAUGGCCGAAAGGCUGACGCAGCGACGCCGCGUGGGGGAUGAAGCAUUUCGGUGUGUAAACCCCUGUUGCUCGGGACGAACAACUGGAUUCUUCCAGUCUGACGGUACCGGGUGAGGAAGCACCGGCUAACUCCGUGCCAGCAGCCGCGGUAAUACGGAGGGUGCGAGCGUUGUCCGGAAUCACUGGGCGUAAAGGACGCGUAGGCGGUCUGCUAAGCGUGUGGUGAAAGCUCGGGGCUCAACCCCGAGUCUGCCAUGCGAACUGGUGGACUAGAGCACUGUAGAGGCAAGUGGAAUUCCGGGUGUAGCGGUGGAAUGCGUAGAGAUCCGGAAGAACACCGGUGGCGAAGGCGGCUUGCUGGGCAGUAGCUGACGCUGAUGCGCGACAGCGUGGGGAGCAAACAGGAUUAGAUACCCUGGUAGUCCACGCCGUAAACGAUGGGGACUAGGUGCUUGGGGGAACGACCCCUCGAGUGCCGGCGCUAACGCAUUAAGUCCCCCGCCU